rnacentral:rRNA from 1 species
CCACGGGGCUCAGCAGUGGGGGAUAUUGCACAAUGGGGGCAACCCUGAUGCAGCGACGCCGCGUGGGCGAAGAAGUAUUUCGGUAUGUAAAGCCCUAUCAGCAGGGAAGAAGAAAUGACGGUACCUGAGUAAGAAGCACCGGCUAAAUACGUGCCAGCAGCCGCGGUAAUACGUAUGGUGCAAGCGUUAUCCGGAUUUACUGGGUGUAAAGGGGGCGCAGACGGCGAUGCAAGCCAGGAGUGAAAGCCCGGGGCCCAACCCCGGGACUGCUCUUGGAACUGCGUGGCUAGAGUGCAGGAGGGGCA